AACGAACGCUGGCGGCAUGCCUAACACAUGCAAGUCGAACGAGACCUUCGGGUCUAGUGGCGCACGGGUGCGUAACGCGUGGGAACCUGCCCUUAGGUUCGGAAUAACUCCCCGAAAGGGGUGCUAAUACCGGAUAAUGUCUUCGGACCAAAGAUUUAUCGCCUUUGGAUGGGCCCGCGUUGGAUUAGCUAGUUGGUAGGGUAAAAGCCUACCAAGGCGACGAUCCAUAGCUGGUCUGAGAGGAUGAUCAGCCACACUGGGACUGAGACACGGCCCAGACUCCUACGGGAGGCAGCAGUGGGGAAGAUUGGACAAUGGGCGAAAGCCUGAUCCAGCAAGGCCGCGGGAGUGAUGAAGGCCUUAGGGUUGUAAAGCUCUUUUACCCGGGAUGAUAAGGACAGUACCGGGAGAAUAAGCUCCGGCGAACUCCGG
rnacentral:rRNA from 1 species